UCUCUUCUCGAUACCGUUUACUUGAACUUGGACGCACUUUUUCCUUUUCUUUCCGCAUGCUGCAUCGUGACAACGGUGAAGCAUGUUUCCUAAAAUCGAGCGGGACCACUCAUUACCGUUGAAGGUUACGUCGAAGAUUGACAAAUUAAUGUAACAAAGAAAUUAUUCACCUGUAGCGGUAGGUCCUGUCAUUGUGACGGG